UAUUGACCUCAAAAACACAGGCCUGGUUUCACAGACAGGGCUUAGAAUAAGCCAGGAUUAGGCCUUAGUUCAAUUAAGACAUUUAAGUAGCUUAGAAAAAAACACUACUGGUGUGCAUCUUGAGACAAAACGAUAGCACUGUCAUAUUUGUCAGAUAUGUCAGUGCAAGUUGCUUUCAGUUAAAACAACUCAAACAUGUGUUUUAGUCUGGGUUAGACUUGAGCCUUAUCUGUGAAACCAGGGGCAAGUUAAUUAAAUUAAACUUCAGCAUAUAAAUUGUCCUGCACCAUUUGUGCUACAUACAUGGAUGAUAUUUUAAGUAGACAUUUAUAAAUGCUAGUACAUUAUUUGUACUAUAGAAUAGAGUUUGUUGCAUGUAAAUAUCCUUUAAGUCCUGUAAUGUUUUGAGUAGAGCAGAAAAAACCCCAAAAAAAAACAUUGGCUAACUUUGGUUUUAGUUCCCGGUUCAAGCUUACUAUCUAUUCUCAUACUAUCUCUCUAUGUGUCUCAAGAGCAAACAAUAGUAAUGGUUUGGGUUUCCCACUCUUUUCAUAAGCUGGACCUGCCAGUCACACCUCUUUUUCCCCUGAUUCAAAGAUUCAGCUGAUUAUAAAGCAGACUUUAUAUAUGAAAUGCCUACAAAAACAGUGACCUUUUUCAGUCCUUCGCUCAUUACUGAGAAAGGAAUGCUUUCACAAGGUGUUUUAACAAAACCCUUCUUCUGUUUGUAACAUAAUUUUAGACACACCAUAGCAGUUGGCUUAAAGGAUUAGUUCACUUUCAAAUAAAAAUUUCCUGAUAAUUUACUCACCCCCAUGUCAUCCAAGAUGCCCAUGUCCUUCUUUCUUCAGUCGAAAAGAAAUGAAGGUUUUUGACGAAAACAUUCCAGGACUUUUCUCCUUAUAGUGGACUUCAAUUGGCCCCAAACGGUUGAAGGUCAAAAUUACAGUUUCAGUGCAGCUUCAAAGGGCUUUAAACGAUACCAGACGAUGAAUAAGGGUCUUAUCUAGCGAAACGAUCGGUCGUUUUCUAAAAAAAAAAAAAGAAAAAAAAAAAGAAAAAUGUAUAUGCUUUGUAAACACAAAUGAUCACCUCGCAAGUGCUUCCGCCAGACCACCUUCCGUAUUCUUUAAAAAGCUUACGCUGUAUGUCCGGCCCUAUUCAUCUUACGGAAAAAACGAAACUGGCGCCGCGUUCGUUCUGUAAGUUGCGUAAGUCCACUAUAAGGAGAAUAAUCCUGGAAUGUUUUCAUCAAAAACCUUAAUUUCUUUUCGACUAAAGAAAGAAGGACAUGGACAUCUUGGGGGUGACAUGAGGGUGAGUAAAUUAUCAGGAAAUUUUUAUUUGAAAGUGAACUAAUCCUUUAAACUGUUAGUCAUGUGAUUUUUGUGCCAAGGGUUUUAUUGCAGUGUAAAUGUUAUUUUAUUUUGUUAUACAUUUUAACCACUGAGUAAGAAAUUACUAAUUGACGAACCGUAAACAAAGCAGCGUUUUGAAUAUCUAUCAUGAUCACUUUCUUCAUUCUGAGUUGCUCAUGUUAAAUAUUGAAAAUAUUUGCGGAUUGGAAUGCUCAGUGCUGACGAAUGGCCAAGCCCUGUUUCUUCUGUCUUCAGAUUGAGCAGGUACAUGAGUGUCAAAUUUAGUGAAA